rnacentral:rRNA from 1 species
GACGAACGCUGGCGGCGUGCUUAACACAUGCAAGUCGAACGGUAAGGCCCUUCGGGGUACACGAGUGGCGAACGGGUGAGUAACACGUGGGUGAUCUGCCCUGCACUUCGGGAUAAGCCUGGGAAACUGGGUCUAAUACCGGAUAGGACCACUGCCUGCAUGGGUGUGGUGGAAAGCUUUUGCGGUGUGGGAUGGGCCCGCGGCCUAUCAGCUUGUUGGUGGGGUGAUGGCCUACCAAGGCGACGACGGGUAGCCGGCCUGAGAGGGUGACCGGCCACACUGGGACUGAGAUACGGCCCAGACUCCUACGGGAGGCGGCAGUGGGGAAUAUUGCACAAUGGGCGCAAGCCUGAUGCAGCGACGCCGCGUGAGGGAUGACGGCCUUCGGGUUGUAAACCUCUUUCAGCACCGACGAAGCGCAAGUGACGGUAGGUGCAGAAGAAGGACCGGCCAACUACGUGCCAGCCGCCGCCGUAA